UGGAUGAUGUGGUUUAAUUCGAUGCAACGCGAAAAACCUUACCCACCUUUGACAUGGCAGGAUCCUAAAGAGAUUUGGGAGUGCUCGAAAGAGAACCUGCACACAGGUGCUGCAUGGCUGUCGUCAGCUCGUGUCGUGAGAUGUUGGGUUAAGUCCCGCAACGAGCGCAACCCUUGCCAUUAGUUGCUACGAAAGGGCACUCUAAAUGGGACUGCCGGUGACAAACCGGAGGAAGGUGGGGAUGACGUCAAGUCCUCAUGGCCCUUAUGGGUAGGGCUUCACACGUCAUACAAUGGUCGGUACAGAGGGUUGCCAAGCCGCGAGGUGGAGCCAAUCCCUUAAAGCCGAUCGUAGUCCGGAUCGUAGUCUGCAACUCGACUACGUGAAGUCGGAAUCGCUAGUAAUCGCGGAUCAGCAUGUCGCGGUGAGUACGUUCCCGGGCCUU
rnacentral:rRNA from 1 species